UUCUUCAAACAAAACGAUUAUGACAGUCAGACAAAAUAACACUAUGUCUUUAAUCUUCAAAUGCUGCUUCAGCUGAUAGUUUACAUUAUAGUUCUGUUAGCUUAGAUCUUUUUAGACAGAAAACAGAG